UCAGUUACUGGACAAAUGAAAAUGUCUGGAUAAGCCAGAGUAGGAUAAAUUUUAAACAAUAAUAAUGAAAUAUGUCCAAUUUAACCUAGGCCAUAGAAAUAUGAAGCAGGUUUUGUUGUUGUUUUGUUCUUUUGUUUUAGGAGAUGAUUGAAGAAGGGUGCUUGGUUUGUCGAGUUCCGUAAUUAGGAUGCCAAAUCCUGAUGCUAGAUCCUCUCCUUUAGACCUUGCUGCUCAGCGCAUGCCAUAGGAUUAUCCUAUUAAUUUUCAAUGAUCCUGGGCAGGUUUUUAAGUAAAAUGAAAUAUACCUAAGGUAUUAGCUGUAAGUUCAGCAAACCGUGAUGCUAUAAUUCAGUUUAGCAAAUGGAGAAAGGAGGAAGGAGUGGAGGACAUCGAGAGAAAAGGCAAGCUGCGGUACCAGAGAAGCAUUGUUCUGAGCCUGAGCCCCCCGGUACAUAGUUGUGUAUUCUUAGUUGUGGGUCCUUCUAGUUGUGGCAUGUGGGACGCCGCCUCAGCGUGGUUUGAUGAGCAGUGCCAUGUCCGCACCCAGGAUUCGAACCGACGAAACACUGGGCCGCCUGCAGAGGAGCGCGCGAACUUAACCACUCGGCCACGGGGCCAGCCCCUUCAGAGGCAUAGGGAGAGUUGAAUUGCUCCUGCUUCUCGCCCAAUGUGUUUGCCAUCUGGACUGCCACUAACAGCUAGAAAUGCCCCCUUCCUCCCAAAGAAAAAAUAAAAGCGCAAGCAAAUAUUGACUGAGUUCCUACAAGUGCGCAUAAAUGGAUCAUGACGGGAG
rnacentral:lncRNA from 1 species